GAUUUAACUACAUGGUCUUCCUCAGCAGAUAGAGUUCACCCAGUUGUGAUGGAAUAGAAGCCAACAUGUACAAGAAGUUCUAAAAAUGCUCACAGAAAUGGGAAUUCGAACAACUACAAUUGAAUGACAACCGGGAGACUCCAUCCGCUGAAGAAGCUCAUGUGAUAUGAUUUACAGUUCCAGUUAGUGGAUGGAUGUUCCACAAAUAUUUUUUAAAAUUGUUUUCAAGGAUGAAGUUGAAGAAUCUGUACUCCAGUAUAAAUCAGAGGUCAAAGGUCAAAAUCAAGAAUUUUCUCAUUCAUUCUCCCUGGGAACAUGGGAUUUUGAAAGAAGCUGUGAUGGAGAAUGUAAUUCGAUUUACUGUGAGAUUAUUCUUUUGUCAAUUUUAAUAAAUGUUUAUUGUGUGUGUGUGUGUGUGUGUGUGUGUGUGUGUGUGUGUGUGUGUGUGUGUGUGUGUGUGUGUGUGUGUGUCCUCAGUGAAGUGUAUCAGUCUCUGCAGUAGCUUCCAGCUGCAGCAGUCAGUUCAGUUUCUGUUCAGUCUGACUGAGGGAGGUUUUUGUACGACGCUUUUUCACUGUGUGAACACAUGCUGACUGUUGAUAUAGUGAAAACUCUGACAGUAGUAAACUGCUGCAUCUUCAGUCUGGACUCCACUGAUGGUCAGAGUGAAGUCAGAGUUUGAUCCACUGCCUGUAAAACGACCUGGAAUCCCUGAUGCUCGAGUGCUAGCAGCAUAAAUGAGCAGUUUAGGAGUUUCUCCAUCUCUCUGUUGGUACCAAGCUAAAUAGUGGUAGCUGCUCCAAGUAUAAACCUUAGGACUGGUCCUACAUGUGAUGGUGACUGAGCCUCCCAGAGCAGAGCUCACUGCUCCAGACUGAGUCACUGUGUACUGGCCUCUGGACUCUGAGGAUACAGAGACAAAAACAUAAAGCAGCGUCAUGGUUUUGUGGGCUUCAUUUCAGAGGGACGGAUGUUCAUAGAGGAGAGGAGUUUGAUUCUCUGGACUUUACCUGUGAAGCAGCAGCAGAGGAGAGUCCAGAUGAGGAUGGAGAUCAAAGUCAUGUUUUUGAUGAGGAGGAUUUCUGUGUCUUCUGUUGUCAUGAAGGACAGCUGUCAGUCAUCCAGUGUUCAACUCUCAGGACUAUAAACUCUCCCAGAGCACUGGAGCAUGGUGCUGCUGAUGCAAAGUGGCUCUCUAUGGAAAUGCUCUGACUGACUCCAACAGGGACUUGGAUUCCUCUCAUGAUGCUGUUUAUCAACGGAUCAAUCACUUUAUCAGAGUAUUGAUUAGGAAUGUGUCAGUGCUCAUUUGUAUGAGGCUUUGCUUUCAGUUUGAUGGACACAUUUUCUUCCAGAAUAUUUAGUGGAUUCCCCCUAAUUCACUACCACACAGAUCAACAUCACUGUGGGACACAUUUAAACAAAUAUAUUAUCUAUUAUUUAUUUUAUAUUCAUCAUAAUAUACAAUAAACAUAUGUUUAUGAUCAUUA